rnacentral:rRNA from 1 species
AGAGUUUGAUCCUGGCUCAGAACGAACGUUAGCGGCGCGCUUAACACAUGGAAGUCGAGCGAGAAAGGGCUUCGGCCCCGGUAAAGCGGCGCACGGGUGAGUAACACGUGGGUAAUCUGCCCUCGAGUGGUGGAUAACUCCCCGAAAGGGGAGCUAAUACAGCAUAAGACCACGACUCUCCGGAGUUGGGGUCAAAGCGGGCCUCUCCAUGGAAGCUCGCGCUUGAGGAUGAGCCUGCGGCCCAUCAGCUUGUUGGUGGUGUAAAAGACCACCAAGGCGAAGACGGGUAGCUGGUCUGAGAGGAUGAACAGCCACACUGGAACUGAGACACGGUCCAGACUCCUACGGGAGGCAGCAGUGGGGAAUCUUGCGCAAUGGGCGAAAGCCUGACGCAGCGACGCCGCGUGAGCGAUGAAGGCCUUCGGGUUGUAAAGCUCUGUGGAGAGGGACGAAUAAGGGCUGGCGAAUACCCAGCCUGAUGACGGUAC